CAGGAUUAGAUACCCUGGUAGUCCACGCCGUAAACGAUGUCGACUUGGAGGUUGUGCCCUUGAGGCGUGGCUUCCGGAGCUAACGCGUUAAGUCGACCGCCUGGGGAGUACGGCCGCAAGGUUAAAACUCAAAUGAAUUGACGGGGGCCCGCACAAGCGGUGGAGCAUGUGGUUUAAUUCGAUGCAACGCGAAGAACCUUACCUGGUCUUGACAUCCACGGAAGUUUUCAGAGAUGAGAAUGUGCCUUCGGGAACCGUGAGACAGGUGCUGCAUGGCUGUCGUCAGCUCGUGUUGUGAAAUGUUGGGUUAAGUCCCGCAACGAGCGCAACCCUUAUCCUUUGUUGCCAGCGGUCCGGCCGGGAACUCAAAGGAGACUGCCAGUGAUAAACUGGAGGAAGGUGGGGAUGACGUCAAGUCAUCAUGGCCCUUACGACCAGGGCUACACACGUGCUACAAUGGCGCAUACAAAGAGAAGCGACCUCGCGAGAGCAAGCGGACCUCAUAAAGUGCGUCGUAGUCCGGAUUGGAGUCUGCAACUCGACUCCAUGAAGUCGGAAUCGCUAGUAAUCGUGGAUCAGAAUGCCACGGUGAAUACGUUCCCGGGCCUUGUACACACCGCCCGUCACACCAUGGGGAGUGGGUUGCAAAAGAAGUAGGUAGCUUAACCUUCGGGAGGGCGCUUACCACUUUGUGAUUCAUGACUGGGGGUGAAGUCGUAACAAGGUAACC
rnacentral:rRNA from 1 species